GUCUGCGGCCACGCCACCCUGAACAAGCCCCAUGUCUGAGCUCGGAAGCUAAGCAGGGUCGGGCCUGGUUGGUACUUGAAUGGGAGACCACCUAGGAAGACCAGGUGCUGUAGGCG
rfam:Pteropus alecto contig60159, whole genome shotgun sequence.